rnacentral:misc_RNA from 1 species
UUUAACGAUUUAUAUCUAUACUCAGACGGCACAGUUAUCAGAAUUUAAGAUGGCUACCGGCGGGCACGGGCCAGGGGCGGUAAAGCCCCCGGCGGCCCCAGAGGGCGGGCCCGCCAAAGCAACGUGGUUGGUUAAACAAAGGGUUGGAGGUCGGGCCUGGAAGACCCUUACUCGGUAAUGAUCCUUCCGCAGGUUCACUAGAAAUUAUGUUAGCAAAUGUCACGAGUGUUUUAAGGGGGAAAGAAUUGCCAAACGUACCCUACGGAAA